rnacentral:rRNA from 1 species
ACACAUGCAAGUCGAACGAAGAUACUUAAAAUGAGAGCUUCGGCAGGAUUUUUAUUUAUCUUAGUGGCGGACGGGUGAGUAACGUGUGGGCAACCUGCCCUAUACUGGGGAAUAAUCACUGGAAACGGUGACUAAUACCGCAUGUCAUUACGGAAGGGCAUCCUUCUGUAAGAAAAGGAGUAAUUCGGUAUAGGAUGGGCCCGCAUCUGAUUAGCUAGUUGGUGAGAUAACAGCCCACCAAGGCGACGAUCAGUAGCCGACCUGAGAGGGUGAUCGGCCACAUUGGGACUGAGACACGGCCCAAACUCCUACGGGAGGCAGCAGUGGGGAAUAUUGCACAAUGGGGGAAACCCUGAUGCAGCAACGCCGCGUGAAGGAAGAAGGUUUUCGGAUCGUAAACUUCUAUCAACAGGGACGAAGAAAGUGACGGUACCUGAAUAAGAAGCCCCGGCUAACUACGUGCCAGCAGCCGCGGUAAUACGUAGGGGGCAAGCGUUAUCCGGAAUUACUGGGUGUAAAGGGAGCGUAGGCGGCACGCCAAGCCAGAUGUGAAAGCCCGAGGCUUAACCUCGCGGAUUGCAUUUGGAACUGGCGAGCUAGAGUACAGGAGAGGAAAGCGGAAUUCCUAGUGUAGCGGUGAAAUGCGUAGAUAUUAGGAAGAACACCAGUGGCGAAGGCGGCUUUCUGGACUGAAACUGACGCUGAGGCUCGAAAGCGUGGGGAGCAAACAGGAUUAGAUACCCUGGUAGUCCACGCCGUAAACGAUGAGUGCUAGGUGUCGGGGAGGAAUCCUCGGUGCCGCAGCUAACGCAAUAAGCACUCCACCUGGGGAGUACGACC